GAUUAUACUUUCCUUUUCUCUCUUUUCUGUUCAAUCGGAUUUUUCAUUUGCUUUGGCUCUUUAUUUAUUCGAUCACGAAAAUGGUAGCAGUGGUCCCUCACUAACAGUAUACCUGAGAACAGGGGAUUACCACUCAAAGUCAGAAUAGAAUUACGUAAGCAUAAAUCAAAAUAAUAAAAAAUAAAAAUAAAAAUAAAAAAUAAAAAAUAAAAAAGGGAAGCGAAAGCGAGGAAGUAGACAGCAGGGGAGAGGAGUGGAGAAGCGGGUGGCUUGGCUGCUCCACCCGUUUUUGUUUUGUUUAUCUUAACUUCAAAAUCCACAUUUCUUUUAUCUUCCUCCAAAUCCACAAAAAUUUAUACUUCCCUAUCUCUAUCUCUUUCUCCAUCUCUCUCCUUUCCCCCACAAUCAUGGCUAACCUUCAUUCUCUAUCUCCCGUUCUUCACCCUACUUACCGGUUCUCCUCUGACAAUGGAUUGCUGCUCGUCGACUUCGUCGGUUUGUACUGUAAAUCCAAACCUACUACCAGGCGGAGGCUUCCCCUCUCCCUCAAUACUCGGACUAUGCGCCGCUUUUCAAC
rnacentral:lncRNA from 1 species